AUGAAACAUCAUGUUAAAAAAAAAUAUACUUGAUUCAAUUACUGAUUUGAUAACAGCAAAGACAAUGUCGGCAGUAUUGACGGCAAAAUAGGCUACAGAAUAUUUAGUUCUGUAAUGACAGGUGCAAUAUUUGAAAUAUAUAAUUGUGAAAAUUA